rnacentral:rRNA from 1 species
AACGAUGGAUAUCUCGGUUCCCAUAACGAUGAAGAACGCAGCGAAGUGCGAUAAGCAAUGCGAAUUGCAGAACCGUGAGUCAUCAGAUCUUUGAACGCAACUGGCGCC